AGAUGAACCUGGUGGAACUGAUCACCCUGGUGGUUUUCCGAGGGUGAGACCUGCCUCUUGCACUCCAGGCAUGCUGACCCCUGCGAGUUUCCCCAAAUGCAGGAAACUCAACAUAUUGGCAUUGUGGCUAGGAGCAAGCGAGACUAGGGGGCACCUGAACCUCUGGGCCCUG
rnacentral:snRNA from 1 species